GGUUACCUUGUUACGACUUCACCCCAGUCGCUGACUAUACCGUGGUCAAGGGUAUUAAACCUUGCCUUAAGGUAGAACCAACUCCCAUGGUGUGACGGGCGGUGUGUACAAGACCCGGGAACGCAUUCACCGUGGCACGCUGAUCCACGAUUACUAGUAAUUCCAGCUUCAUGCACUCGAGUUGCAGAGUGCAAUCCGAACUGAGGUAUCUUUUAAGGAUUUGCUUAACUUCCCCGUUUGGCUUCCUGUUGUAA
rnacentral:rRNA from 1 species